rnacentral:rRNA from 1 species
CCGACGGUGAGAGGCGAAAUGCUGGGGGCGCAAACCGGAUUAGAUACCCGGGUAGUCCCAGCAGUAAACGAUGCCAGCUAUGUGUUGCUGGAACCAUGGGUUCCAGCAGUGCCGAAUGGAAGCCGUGAAGCUGGCCACCUGGGAAGUACGGUCGCAAGGCUGAAACUUAAAGGAAUUGGCGGGGGAGUACCACAACCGGUGGAGCCUGCGGUUUAAUUGGAUACAACGCCGGGAAUCUUACCGGAGGGGACAGCAGUAUGAAGGCCAGGCUAAAGACCUUGCCAGAUCAGCUGAGAGGAGGUGCAUGGCCGUCGCCAGUUCGUACCGUGAGGCAUCCUGUUUAGUCAGGCAACGAUCGAGACCCGCAGUCUUAUUUGCCAGCAUGCCCCUUUGGGCGUGUAUGGGUACAAUAAGACGGAGCCGGAGCGCUAAGCUGGAGGAAGGAGCGGGCUUGCUGUAGGUCAGCAUGCCCCGAAUCCUCCGGGAUACACGCGGGCUACAAUGGUCAUGGACAGGAAGGUACCGACCUCGAAAGAGUGAGGUAAUCCACAAAGCCUGAUCUCAGUCCGGAUCGAAGGCU